rnacentral:rRNA from 1 species
AGUAACACGUGGAUAACCUACCUAUAAGACUGGGAUAACUUCGGGAAACCGGAGCUAAUACCGGAUAAUAUUUUGAACCGCAUGGUUCAAAAGUGAAAGACGGUCUUGCUGUCACUUAUAGAUGGAUCCGCGCUGCAUUAGCUAGUUGGUAAGGUAACGGCUUACCAAGGCAACGAUGCAUAGCCGACCUGAGAGGGUGAUCGGCCACACUGGAACUGAGACACGGUCCAGACUCCUACGGGAGGCAGCAGUAGGGAAUCUUCCGCAAUGGGCGAAAGCCUGACGGAGCAACGCCGCGUGAGUGAUGAAGGUCUUCGGAUCGUAAAACUCUGUUAUUAGGGAAGAACAUAUGUGUAAGUAACUGUGCACAUCUUGACGGUACCUAAUCAGAAAGCCACGGCUAACUACGUGCCAGCAGCCGCGGUAAUACGUAGGUGGCAAGCGUUAUCCGGAAUUAUUGGGCGUAAAGCGCGCGUAGGCGGUUUUUUAAGUCUGAUGUGAAAGCCCACGGCUCAACCGUGGAGGGUCAUUGGAAACUGGAAAACUUGAGUGCAGAAGAGGAAAGUGGAAUUCCAUGUGUAGCGGUGAAAUGCGCAGAGAUAUGGAGGAACACCAGUGGCGAAGGCGACUUUCUGGUCUGUAACUGACGCUGAUGUGCGAAAGCGUGGGGAUCAAACAGGAUUAGAUACCCUGGUAGUCCACGCCGUAAACGAUGAGUGCUAAGUGUUAGGGGGUUUCCGCCCCUUAGUGCUGCAGCUAACGCAUUAAGCACUCCGCCUGGGGAGUACGACCGCAAGGUUGAAACUCAAAGGAAUUGACGGGGACCCGCACAAGCGGUGGAGCAUGUGGUUUAAUUCGAAGCAACGCGAAGAACCUUACCAAAUCUUGACAUCCUUUGACAACUCUAGAGAUAGAGCCUUCCCCUUCGGGGGACAAAGUGACAGGUGGUGCAUGGUUGUCGUCAGCUCGUGUCGUGAGAUGUUGGGUUAAGUCCCGCAACGAGCGCAACCCUUAAGCUUAGUUGCCAUCAUUAAGUUGGGCACUCUAAGUUGACUGCCGGUGACAAACCGGAGGAAGGUGGGGAUGACGUCAAAUCAUCAUGCCCCUUAUGAUUUGGGCUACACACGUGCUACAAUGGACAAUACAAAGGGCAGCGAAACCGCGAGGUCAAGCAAAUCCCAUAAAGUUGUUCUCAGUUCGGAUUGUAGUCUGCAACUCGACUACAUGAAGCUGGAAUCGCUAGUAAUCGUAGAUCAGCAUGCUACGGUGAAUACGUUCCCGGGUCUUGUACACACCGCCCGUCACACCACGAGAGUUUGUAACACCCGAAGCCGGUGGAGUAACCUUUUAGGAGCUAGCCGUCGAAGGUGGGACAAAUGAUUGGGGUGAAGUCGUAACAAGGUAGCCGUAUCGGAAGGUGCGGCUGGAUCACCUCCUUU